rnacentral:rRNA from 1 species
UAGGGAAUCUUCGGCAAUGGGGGGAACCCUGACCGAGCAACGCCGCGUGAGUGAAGAAGGUUUUCGGAUCGUAAAGCUCUGUUGUUAAGGAAGAACGAGUGUGAGAAUGGAAAGUUCAUGCUGUGACGGUACUUAACCAGAAAGGGACGGCUAACUACGUGCCAGCAGCCGCGGUAAUACGUAGGUCCCGAGCGUUGUCCGGAUUUAUUGGGCGUAAAGCGAGCGCAGGCGGUCAGAAAAGUCUGAAGUGAAAGGCAGUGGCUCAACCAUUGUAGGCUUUGGAAACUGUUUAACUUGAGUGCAGAAGGGGAGAGUGGAAUUCCAUGUGUAGCGGUGAAAUGCGUAGAUAUAUGGAGGAACACCGGUAGCGAAAGCGGCUCUCUGGUCUGUAACUGACGCUGAGGCUCGAAAGCGUGGGGAGCGAACAGG